rnacentral:rRNA from 1 species
ACAUGCUUACAACAUAAUGUUAAUGCACCAGAUCCCAUUAGAACUCCGUAGUUAAGCAUGCUCAGGGUAGAGUAGUACUGGGAUGGGUGACUGCCCAAGAAGUCCUAGUAUUUUACAUGCC